rnacentral:lncRNA from 1 species
CCCCGGUGGGCUGACCCGCUCCGCAUCCCCGGCGGGCUCCGGAGGGGAAGGCAGAGCAGAGGCGCUGCUCCUCCCUCCCCCGGCCGGAUAUACAGUAUCAAACCCAAAGGGGGAGGAGAGGUUGAGGUUUGUAAUUUUUUUUUUUCCGUCCCCCCCCCUUCCUUCGCCGGGAGUUGCUUGUGUGCUAAGGGAGGUGGGGGCAGCGGACUGGAGACGCGAAUUGGUCGGAAGGGCGGUAAUUGAAGGCACUUCCAAAAGACUGGAGAGGAGUUCACGGUGGUGAAAAACGUCACAUUGCUGUGAGGUACGGUGCAAAUUCUGCUGGAUUCUGGUCUUCUGUUGAAAGUAGUAGUCCAUUCACUAUUGACUCUGGAGCUACAAUGUUUGUAUCACUGCCACUCUGUUAGCCUCAGAAAGGGGCUGGGAGAAAGUAUUACUAAUAUUUGCAGUUACAGUUGACUAUUGUCCAUGUGCACCCUCAAGGCAGGACUAUUUUUUUCUCAUUAACUUCCUGGUCAUAUGCAGCUUUGGCAGGUGGGGGAUGAAAAUGUAAAUGUUAGGGUAGCCAGACAAACACAUCUGGAAAGCUGCCUUGCAUGAAGAGAUGUUCCUUUGCACAAAUUCAGAAGGCCUCUUUGAAUAGAUAAUGACUGGAUCACCCUACUUAAUGACUUUAACUUUCAUGUCAGAGGAAUCAAUGGUUUUGAGGAUAGGAACUAAAGUUCCAUU